CAGCCCGGGCCGUCGCCAGCGCCAGUUUAGGCUUCCGCAGAUUAGGAGGAGGAAGAGGAGGGAGGGGACCCGAGCCCGAGGGUCCCGAGUCCAGAGCCGUGCGAACCUCCACAAAGUUUCCCUGCCCUCCACCAACGCGCGAUCCUGGGCCACGGUCCCCGGAGCUCCAGUGCCUGCCCCAGCCGAGCGGCCGCAUCCCUCUGCGAGCCACGGAUAGUGUUACUGAGUUGAGCUGUUGCAAGGCUCCACAUCAUGAACCGUGCUUUCAGCAGGAAGAAAGACAAAACAUGGAUGCAUACGCCUGAAGCUCUAUCAAAACAUUACAUCCCCUAUAAUGCAAAGGUAAAAUAGUUAAUGGGGUUUUAUCUGAUUUUGCAUUGUU
rnacentral:lncRNA from 1 species